ACGAAACCCCAUAAUGGCAGAUGGGCUCCAGGUGUGCAGUUGAUGACGUGCCAGGGGUGGAUCGAGACCCAGUGAACCUCAGGAUGGGCUUCCCAAGUCUGUUAGCACAUCCUCGGGUUAUCAUCUGCUACACAGCAUACAGCUGGAAUGCCAAGCUUCGACACAAAGCGACACACUAGAGAGAUAGACUGAUGACUUGGAUUUAAUGGAGGAUUGCAGAAACCAGGAGCUGGAAACGGAGAGGGAUAAAGUUCACACCACAGGAGCUGAUCGUAACGGGAAAACACAAGGGACAACUGGAACUGGAGAAGAACAUAAGAGAGCAGACGACAGCCAGUUGACCCCUGGACAAAGAAGUGCACUGUCCGGAGCAUGGGGCUCUGAUCUUAAGCAGUACAGAUGAACAGAAAGACUUCCUCAAGUGAACAGUCUUCUUUAUUAAGACCUCAGGACAACCGAAACAGGUAUUACAGGAGAGGCUUUCCUUCCACAUCCGUGCUUUCCAAAGCUUUAGUGAACACAAUACGGCUUGGAUUACUGCAAUUUGGCAGCACAAUGGAGAAAGAAG